rnacentral:rRNA from 1 species
GACGAACGCUGGCGGCGUGCCUAAUACAUGCAAGUUGAGCGCUGAAGGUUGGUACUUGUACCAACUGGAUGAGCAGCGAACGGGUGAGUAACGCGUGGGGAAUCUGCCUUUGAGCGGGGGACAACAUUUGGAAACGAAUGCUAAUACCGCAUAAAAACUUUAAACACAAGUUUUAAGUUUGAAAGAUGCAAUUGCAUCACUCAAAGAUGAUCCCGCGUUGUAUUAGCUAGUUGGUGAGGUAAAGGCUCACCAAGGCGAUGAUACAUAGCCGACCUGAGAGGGUGGUCGGCCACAUUGGGACUGUGACACGGCCUAAACUCCUACGGGAGGCAGCAGUAGGGAAUCUUCGGCAAUGGACGAAAGUCUGACCGAGCAACGCCGCGUGAGUGAAGAAGGUUUUCGGAUCGUAAAACUCUGUUGGUAGAGAAGAACGUUGGUGAGAGUGGAAAGCUCAUCAAGUGACGGUAACUACCCAGAAAGGGACGGCUAACUACGUG